rnacentral:lncRNA from 1 species
AUCACCUGGAAGAAGUCAAGCGUAGGUUCGACCACUGUCAGAAAUUCAAAAGGAAACAGGUAAGUUCCCGUCUUUUUAUCCAUUUUUUUUUAAUAUUAGCGUUUAAAAAAGAGCGCUAGGCCUUUUAUUCGUUACAAAAGCUGUUGUUUAUAAACGACCUUGAUGGUGUAAUCGAUGUUGAAUGCAUAGGAGUGCUGCUCGCCUGCUACUCGACCUUUCGCGCGAGCUGUAGGGGUAAAAUUUAAGAUCCCCGUAAACACAGGUGAGAGAGAAAACAGACGUGCCAGAUGUUACUGUCCUCGGGCUGUUCUGUCUGUCCUUGCCGACUUAUGUACAGGUAAAAUAAAUAAUCUAGUUGCAUUGUGGGAAGCUGUACUCGGCCUAUAUGGUGUUCCAGUUUCGACACAAAGCAAUCUCCUGAGGAGGUGUUGGCCUUCGCCUGUCUGACCAUCCUAUCUAUGGUUUCAUUUUGCAACUUUUCACAUAUUACAAGACAUCUAUUAACGCGGUGCUUACUUUCUAACAAUAAAUAUUCUUCCCCCUCCCAAAUGUAUCUAUAGAUUUUUUCUUUAUCGUAGCAUCUUUACUAACUCCAAAGUAUAAUUUUUAACUGGUUAGGAAACUCGUUCUCAGAAUAUUUGAAGCAGAAAAAUGGUAAAGAGAUAACUCGUGGCACAUUUUUAAGUUUCCUGAUGAGCUUGGUAAAAACUUUUGAAACAGGAAUUAAGAUCAACUCUCUGACGUAAUAGAACAGUUACUCACCUCCGUGCUUAAAGGAGGUGAAGAGGCAGGGUUGACGACGAGAAACAUUUAAAAAUGCCCCGGGCUGCCAAGGUGGCUGGGUAGGAAAGUCGAGUUAUGUUGGCACUGGUCAAAGUACGUGAACGAUUGUGAUAUUUGUUCUCCCGUAGUCAAUUCUUUGUGAUCGUUCGCCCUUAUAGUGUAUUCUACCAUAUUGGUUGACCGAAAUACUUCAUCUUUAUCGAAUCUCCGCAUUCAUUGGCGUUGAAAACCCGUUCUUUACGUGUAGAAGCACAAGUUUCGAAAAGUCGAAAUGAUUUGUGCAUGCAUAGCACGCCUGGCCCCAAACGCAUAUGGGUUUGACAACGUCUCACGCCCUGCCCGAACCGUGUUUACCCUCCGUAGAAAGACGUCUAGUCUUUAAAUCCGUCGCUUGAAGGUCAUCCGCUACGUCGACUGCGGCGCGGAAUGCAGUAUCGAUUCUGCCACGUCACGGGAAGCCUCCGCUUCACGUGAUUGUCCGUGUCAUCACCUGAGGGGCAAAGGAUGCGUGGCCAUACGUUACCGUGUCGAUGGCCGAACGGGAAAAGCUCCCGGUGGGCCUCGUUCGUCAACUGUCACGCAUUCAGGCGGGGUGUGAAAAGAGCCGGACAAAACCCGCUUCCUCUCGCGUCUCUAUUGUGUCCCCAGCUGGAAGGUGGGGCAUCCUUUCUCCGUGACUCUCGCGGAAAUGUCCCACGGCAGGUCGAGACGUGCGGUUUGCCAUCGAUUGGCUCCGCUGGAGACAUCUGCAUAGCGUUCGGAUACCAAUUCCUAAUUCGAUCCAUCCCCGACAGAUUUCUUUUUUUCGCUGGCGUCGCGUGUCCUCGGUCAGGGGGCCCCCAUUGAAAAGAUGAGAGAUACGAGCGAAUUUAUUGAACUGCGAAAGGUUGCUGCGAUCGAAGCCAAGACAAACAAGUCUUGUUUACUUGGACCUUUCGAUUGGCAGAUUGCCAGGCCACGCGUCCUUGAGUUCACUUCCUCCUUCCUCGUCGCGUACAGGAUAGGAUGACGGUGAAUACACUGGCUUCGCUUGGCUGUUUGUCUUCGAUUGCUUACGUAACUGGAAUAUUUUGUCGGUUCUUGUGUGAUGAUGAAACAUCGCCCCGGGUUUAUUUAGUCUGACCGGCCAUCUUGGUACUUUCUGCACUGUGGGAGAGGUGCCAAUUGGUGUUUUCCUGUUCCCUGGGGGCCGACAAGUGCUACUAGUAUCUUGGGCGUUGUUUCCACCGACUCUAUCGCAUGACUUGACAUUGACAAAACGUCUGGUCGUGUCGCUCCGCUGAAUAACGCAAGGACGACGACGCCAUUAACGUGGCCUUUAAACUAAUGCGACUGCGUUAAUGUUUCCAGAUUGGAAAUUUAGUCGCGCACGAACUUAAAACCUUAGGUUACGCGGAUGCGCUGUCAGCUGUCUUGAUGUAAUGGCUGAUAAUUGAUUUACCCUUGACACGGACGCCGAGAAUGGCGUGGCUAUCCGUCAAACGUGACGCGAAUUCUAGAAUAGCACCUUAUUUCGUCUCGGGAAAACGUCCCGACGGAUCCAGGAAUGUAAAUGGUUGCCAAAGAAAAUUAAGGCGCCUUAUGUAUAUUUAAGUGAGAUGACUAGAAAUGGAGAUUUGAACCCUUCCGUCUGUCGGGGAAUAAUGGCCAAUGGUUCCACCUCUCUUAAGCACUUCCCUUUUGCCCGGAAGGUGACCAGUUCUGCGCGUAACGAAAGGCUAAACCAGGUUGCUGCAUUGGAAAUCGUAAAAGGGAUUGUUGAAUUUCAGCCAAUCGGGCACCACGUUUGUCUGAGUACAUGCCUGCUGAAGUGGGAGAGGUCUGAGUUAAUCGUGUAGUUGGCGACAGUUAUUCGUCGUCUUUGUCCCUUCGGGCGGAAUUUGACGUUGAUGACUUACGCCGUUUCUAUGCGAAAUGCAGAAAAACUCACUAUUAGAUCUUGUUUACUAUCUAGAAUUGCUCUCGAAACAAAAAUAAAACUCUGCUAAUGACGAAACAAUUAUAAACGAAGCGGAAACCAAGAUAAAAUUUGUAGGAAGUACAUUUUCUCUUUGGACUUUGAAAAGAUAAGAGUAAAAGAUCAGUUGGAGGAUAAAAAGGUUAUUAUAUACUUUAGUGGAAUUUUAAUAAAAUGGCGAAUAGUUUUGUAAAUUAUGGAAUUAAUUUUCUGUUCUCGUAUUAAACCAACUUGAUGUAUAUACAAAGAUAUUUUCGAAUAAAGAGAAGGUCUAUGUAUCUAUCAUCGAUUAUAUACUGAAGAUGGAGAGUUUAGAUUUUUCUGACAGGAGGGAACGGUUGUUUCCGUGAACUGAUAAGGGAAACUGUCAAAAUCUUUUAGGUGAUCAAUCUCUGUUUUACAUACUCGACUAUAACUAAGAUCAUUAUUAAAUUUUAAAUGCAGUUUCGAUGAUCAUCUGUGUUAAAAAUCCAGACUAUUCUGUGUGUAAUGACGUAUAAUGGGGGAUCUAUAGACAUUCAUCUCUUUCUCUUUUCACCAUUAAAGAGGAGGAUGAUUAAUGGUAUAAAUAAUCUUUCUGCCAAUGGUCAGUCGUCUGAUUUGGUCACUGACGAUGAUGGCUAUCCUAAUUUGGCAGUAUGGCUUUAAUUUAUGCUUGGAAAAAUAGGAAGAAGGGGCUGGCGAUCCCAAAAGAUAACAAGAUAUAACCGGCUUUAUCUAUCCACAGUUUGGAUUGGUGAUGUCAGUUAUGUGGAAGGAGGUUUCUCUUUAAAGCUGGCUUUUGUUUACACAACGAAACUUAGAUCCGCAGCUGUGAAAACUUUGAGAAGCAUCUGGGAUCUUCAAAAGGCCCGACGUGCAUUACCAAGAUUAAUUACGCUAGAAUGCCGAGAGCGUCAUUUUCUUCCCUUCCACUUCGAACGCUAGCAACUAAAGAAAGUAAAGUUUGUCCAGUUUGUCAGGUUAAUCGUGAAGAGGUACCGAAGGUGAGGUGAAUGGCCGGUAAUAAACUUGUUAUGGAAGAUUAUCGCCCGUAAGAACUGGAGUAUGUAUCGAUGAAUCCAAC